UGCCCGCCUCGGCCUCCCAAAGUGCUGGGAUUACAGGCGUGAGCCACUGCACCUGGCUAGAUAUGUCUUUAAUCCAUUUUGAUUUGAGUUUUGCAUAUCGUGAGAGAUAAGGGUCUAGUUUCGUUCUUCUACAUAAGCAGUCACAGGAAACUAGUGCAUUGAAGAUAUACAGAAGCUGUCGAAGUGGAUACGGUGAAUUGUGGGAAAAUAUUUCUUGUGAGAGCUGUUGCUGUGCACUGUGAGUACUCAGCAGGCAAGGAUAAAGGAUGCUACCUCUUUCGCUGCAAGUCUGGUAUGGUGAUGCCCACAGGAUGAGUACAAACCCUCAUAGGUGCCUGCACUCUGCUGGAAAACUCAGCAUGCACAGGGUGAGCACCCAAUCUUGACAUUUCUUGCAACCAGCCCAGGCCCCUACUAAGCCCAUCUGGCAGCAGUGUCUGGGUCAGGGGUACAGGUUUGGCAGCCAAGAAACCAUCCUGGGAGAGUCAGAGAAGUGGCAGGAGAUCCAGCUGCAUUUGAGCUAAGUCCCUUAAGCCUCCUGUAAGUGCUCAAUUUCCCCAAAAUGCAAAGUUCAAACAAAUUGAACAAAACACAAGUGCAAACAUAGCAUUAUUAAGAAUUUUAAGACAGCAAAUGGAGAGCACUAAGCACCAAGUAUGAGGGCACUUUCUGAGUAUGGGAGCCUGUGCUAUUGCACUGGAUGUAGGUCCAUGGAGCUGGUCCUGUUAUUCAUGGACAGCAAACCGCAAGGGCAAUGGGACCCUGAACCUAGAGGGGAACCCUAGUUUCCCUGGUACUGUGAAAGAGUCACAAUAUUCCACAGAGAAGGUACUUGCAUUUGCCUCAGUUCAGGAAAUUGUGGAUGAUAUAAGCUGGCUUCUACCAGCAGCAGACACAGCAGUAAGGGUUUGGAUGAAGCUUUAUAUGGAAGGUGAUCUCAGAAAACACUGGCAGUGUAGUGAGGAAGUAAGUCAGGGCAAUGAAGUAAUCUAAUGAGGAUAUGUUAAUAGCAGGUUACAGCUAUUAGCAAUUAGGCAUCUGUCCUGCUAGAGAUCUUCAGGAGGGUGUACGUGUGCAUACAUCAGAGAUGUCCCUCAUGGGGGUAAAAUAAAACAUGGGAUAUUUAGCCUCCUACUUUGUCGUUGAUUAAAGGUUGCUCUUAGAAGUGUUAAUUCCUGAUACUUCCGGCAUGCUUCUCAUAGGGCUGAUGCUUGUUUAAUUCUUCUUUAUUUCUUAUUGGAUUCCUUUCUGAGCCACUGCCAACCACCUGUCACGACAGCAAUUGGAGAGGAAGCUGUUGAAUAAUGGACAUGAAAAAACUAUUUCAUAUUAAAAUACAGAACAUAUGUUACACAUGAGAACUGUUGGAUCUAAUAUGUGCUUUUCACAUCGUGGAAUGAGGAAUGAGAAGAGAUACGGAAGUACCUAUUCUGAUUAUCUGG
ensembl:lncRNA novel transcript